ACUCCUACGGGAGGCAGCAGUGGGGAAUAUUGCACAAUGGGGGAAACCCUGAUGCAGCCAUGCCGCGUGUGUGAAGAAGGCCUUCGGGUUGUAAAGCACUUUCAGUAGGGAGGAAGGUAGUGUAGUUAACACCUGCAUUAUUUGUACGUUACCUACAGAAGAAGCACCGGCUAACUCCGUGCCAGCAGCCGCGGUAAGUACGGAGGGUGCGAGCGUUAAUCGGAAUUACUGGGCGUAAAGCGCAUGCAGGCGGCCUGUUAAGUCAGAUGUAGAAACGGCCCGGGGUACCUUAACCGUACGGUAAUUGCUAUUAGUAAACGUGGCGAGGCUAGAGUCUUGGUAGGUAGGGGUAGUAAUUUCGAGGUGUAGCGGUAGAAAUGCGUAGAGAUCGUAG
rnacentral:rRNA from 1 species